rnacentral:rRNA from 1 species
UACGUAGGGGGCAAGCGUUGUCCGGAAUUACUGGGUGUAAAGCGCGUGUAGGCGGGAGGCCAAGUCUGCUGUGAAAUCGCUCGGCUCAACUGGGCGGGGUCGGUGGAAACUGGUCACCUGGAGGACGGUAGAGGCGAGUGGAAUUCCCGGUGUAGUGGUGAAAUGCGUAGAGAUCGGGAGGAACACCAGUGGCGAAGGCGGCUCGCUGGGCCGGUCCUGACGCUGAGGAGCGAAAGCCAGGGGAGCAAACGGG